UCUAUUCCUGCGUGGCUCCAUUCCUGUCUGCAAAAAGAUUCCCAGAGGACUGCCUUCAGGACCUUGGCCUUAGUUAGGAACUGACUGACCAGCAGAAUUUGAACACAGAUCUCCCAGUUAUGGCCUUUCCCCAUGGAUAAAGACACCUAGACUUGUCAUCUGAACCCAGUACAGCCUGACACCAGUGUUCUGUGGUCCUUCUACUCAUGAGUCACCUAACUCAAGUCCUGUCACAUAUUCAGUGCACAGGUAUGAUUGUAAGGAGCUUGGAAAGUAGCCGUUUGGAGCCUGGAGCUGCAACUGACGCUGCCCACCACAUCGCUGACCCAAAUGUGGAUCAACCGAGAAUUAUUGGGUGAAGCCUAUCCAUUGGCUGUGCCUCCAGCUAUGUGGUCACAGCAAGAGAACUGGCCCCUUGAAAGCAAUCAUGCCUGCCCAUCGAGGAAUAGCUGACUCAAUGGCCCCAUUCAUGGGCCUUCCCACACCUUCCAGCUCUCCUUCUCUCCAGAGAUAUAUGGCAGGAUAUCCAUAUAUGCAGCUGUCGGUGGAAAACCAUGGAAUGGGUGCGGUGGGUGGAAAAUACCUUUCUUUUUGCAAAUU